GUCAUGGCUGGUAUCAUCGCCAUUUAUGGCCUCGUUGUAGCGGUGCUCAUUGCCAACAACAUUACAGAGCGGGUCAGCCUUUACAAGUGUGGUGACCAAAAUAGCCCCGUCCACUACUUUGUGCUUCUUGAGGUUCUCCAAUAUGGCCAAAUGCUCGUCAGAUGUCCCUGGCGGCGUGUCCACCAGCAGCACGUCCAGCUCUCCCCACGCCACGUCUGACACAAACUGAGCAAUCAUCGCUGAGAGGAACAAAGAAGAGGACGAUGAGUUCAAGUCUCAUAGAGGGUUCCUACACACAACAUUAUGUAAUUUUACCAGACUAUAAAUACAUACCAGACUUUAUGGUUACUUUUUGAAAAAAAUAUCUGAUAAUUAUAUUACUGUUUUUGUGCUCAGAUCAAGGCCAAAUGGUUUUAUGUUUUCAAUUUCUGAUACUUUUCCAGACUAGGAAAUGUAUAGAACCAAAUUCCCUACUUUUCCAUACAGUGUAGAAACUCUGGUAGAUGUACGCCACCUGUUUUCUUGGGUCCCCUCCACACCACAGCUUCAUCCGGGUCGUCCAGCAGGAAGCCGAUGGACAUGAGCGCGAGGUUUUUCUCCGCGUCGGCGUAGACGGGCACCCAGCCCGAGUCGCACUGGUGCACGUCUGGACGACCCACGCUCAGCAUGCGCGGGAUACUGGGCCCGCACAGGUCUACGUCCAGGAUGCCAACCUGAUGGAACACAAAACUAAAGUGUAAAUUAUCUUUACCCAUCUCCUUCAUUCUCUCAUUCCUCGCUUAUUUCCUUCAACGACUUCUUUCCUACCAUCCUUCCACGCUACCUUCUGCCCCUUCUUUCCAUCAUUCUUCUUCCCUUCCUUCCAUCCAUAUUACAUCCUCACUUCAUCUUUUGUUCUUUCAUUGCUCCUAUUCUUCCGUUUAGUAUUCCUUCUUUUUUUCCAUCCCUUUCAUUCUUUCCUCUCUUUCCCUUCCAUUCAUUUAAAACAGUGCACACCUACUUUGGGCCCGCCUUGUAUACAUAAUAUAUUGGAAAAAUACAAAUAAUACAACUAAAGGACCCCAAACAAGCUGUGAUUUCUUUGCCCAAUGAUUUAUGAAGUAUCACUGGCCUUUUUCCCAGCAUGCCUCAGUGCCAGAGCAAGCUCGGCAGUGAUGGUACUCUUCCCCACACCUCCUUUUCCGGACAGAACCAAGAUGACAUGCUGCACUUGGGACAGGCUGCUGCUAUCUAGGAAGAAAGGAAAAACACCUUUAAUUCACUGGUGGGAAGAAACGUACUUUAUUACUGCAAUUAAGUAGAUUAUUUCAGGUAUCUGUACUUGAGUAUUUUUCUCACGACUUUUUCAUUUUACUCCCUACAUUUGAAAACAAAUCUAGUUUCUACACCUUACUUUGUCAAAAUAGGCUUGUCACUUUUUUUAAACAUUUGUUUUAUUCUUGAAAAGCGUUUACAUUUUUUAGAGCAGUGAACGUCACGUUUUGUCACCUGACACCACAAGUUCGACAAAAGUAGGUUAGAGUUUCUUUUGGGUGCUUUUUCCAAAAGUGUGGCACGUUUUUUUUUUUUUUGUAUUUUUUUUUUUGACCAACUAAUAAUACGUUUUCAUUAUGAAAAACUACCACGCAUUUUAGGUACGGUACUAAACGCGUUUCCUGUUAUCUAAUCUAGCCAUUUGUUGGAUUAUAAAACGUUUGAUCCGUUUUUGUUAUUCAUCACGAUACUCUAGCUAUAAACAAGCGUUAAAUGGUAAACUAACAGAAAACUCACAAUUCUUCUGUUCCAUAACUGCUAUUUGGCAAAUUUAAGCAGCAUCCGUGCGCAUUGGGUGCCGAAAACACUUCCGUAAAAUGGCCACCUGACUAGUGUCAGCCAAUCAGAUGCCCAUGCAACGCUCAGUGUCCAAUAGCAAAGCACGUGGUGUUCAUGUUACCCAUAUAUGCUCGGACUUAAAACAACUCUACAGGAUAUUCAUUGAAAUAGCAGACGUUUUGUCCUCCAUUAGCAAGUUGUCUUAUGUAUUACACCUAAAUUUAGUUUUAAAUAUCAUUCGGUAUUUGUCAUAGAUAUGUAGUAAAGUAAAGAUUUCCAAAGUCCAUAAAUAUACUUUAAUUCACAGGCUUGAGGCUAAAGCCACAUAGUCCCUCCCCCUUCUUCGGUGUUAUCCAAUGAGCGGAGAGCGGAGGCGUGAUCAGGGUCAUGUUUACGUCUGUCUUUCCGGGCGCGAGAGAACAAGAAGUGGGCCACAGUGUGAAGUGCACCUGUCGCAUACUCGGAUAUAGUGGCAGGCUGACACUCAAAUGAGCCACUGCUGCUGGGCCGGGCACCAGAAGAUUCCAGUAAGAUCAUCCAUGCUGAGAAGGGGAAGGAGCGGCCGCCCUCGACAUUUGGCCCGGAGCGAAACACGGCGCGGGAUGGAUUCUGUGACGGGGAUGUCCAUAUCGGCCGAAGCCGAAGAAUGGGAUAGGCAGACAACAACGCAGAUCACUGAGGUGGAGUCUGAGGUGGAUCACCUGGGGAGCUCUGAGCCGACAGAAGCGACGGCCCCGUCCAGCCUGGCGCCCGUGCUCGGCGAGUCUUUCUGCCAGUGUGCCUGGGGAGACGAGCCGAACGCGGGCUUCGGGAUCGGCGCCGACUGCCUCUGUGGAGAGGACGACGACGACUUUGCCUGGGUGUGGGACGAGCGCCUGAAGUCGUCGGGCGCCUUCCUCAGCUGCGACGACCGCAAAGUGAGCUUCCACUCGGACUACAGCUGCGGCACCGCCGCCAUCCGGGGCACCAGAGAGCUCGCCGACGGGCAACACUUCUGGGAAGUCAAGAUGACCUCGCCGGUCUACGGAACAGACAUGAUGGUUGGAAUUGGAACUGCGGAAGUGAACCUGGAGAAAUUCAAGUAUAACUUUGGCAGCCUAUUGGGUCACGACGAGGACAGCUGGGGGCUCUCCUACACAGGUCUCCUCCAGCAUAAAGGUGAGAAAGUGAACUUCUCCUCACGGUUCGGUCAAGGAUCCAUCAUCGGAUUGCACUUGGACACCUGGCACGGUACCUUGACCAUCUACAAGAAUCGACGCUGCGUAGGCGUCGCUGCCAGCAGGCUGCAGAGCAAGAAGCUGUACCCGAUGUUGUGCUCCACAGCGGCCAAGAGCAGCAUGAAGGUGAUCCGCGCCUGUUACACGCCCACCUCCCUGCAGUACCUCUGCUGUACGCGCCUUCGCAAAAUCCUCCCGGCCCGCCCGGACGUGUUGACCGCCCUGGAGCUGCCUCCGGGCCUGCUGGCUCUCCUACGCCGGCGGCUCGGCUGGCUGUUCUCCGUCACGGAAGCCGAGGGGGACGCCGACGCCGGCUCCCCGGCGAGCCGCGACCUCGGUGGCCGCGGCUCCCCGAGUCCCCGCGCCAGUCCCGUCCCCAGACCAUGUUUCUGCCCCCCGACGCCCCCCGGCGGUGACGACGGCCCCGAGCCAGAUGAUUAUCGGAGUAAAAGAUGCCGCUGGACAUGAUGCGUGCGACUCCCAUCAAUGCCACCAGAUGGCGGUAACAGGACAAUUGUGUAAAUGAAGUUCCUCAACUCACUUCCGCGCCAAGAUGCCACCAGACAGCGCCGAAGCAAUAUUGCGUUUGCCCGAAAAGGCCCAGAUUCCACACUAAAUGACCGUGUCUAAGAAUUCCGAUGGACCGAGCACCUGCACCAGCUGGUCCUCUGCCACCGGUCCUGCGCCAUCCUCGGCCAGCUGAUCAUAGAAAUGCAAUGCAAAACGAGAGGAGCUCUUUUGGAAACUUAAGUGCCCACCUCAGGUAAAUCCUUGGUCCAUGUGAUGCUGUUGGGAAGCGCCUGUGGUUGGAUGCUGUACCUCCAGUCAAAAGAAGACAGAGUGCCCAGCAAGAUGUCCGAGCCCUGCUGUUGCAGGAGAGCUGGAGAUGUGGGAGUGGAGCAGAUAAGUGUUGAAAAUCCUGACAUUCGCUAACUAUACUCUCCAAAUUCCACUCAAAAUUCGCAAUAUUCAAACAUGGCGGCCCCAAAAUCAAACACCCCCCCCCCCCCCCCACAUUUUAUUAUUAUUAUUAUUAUUUAUUUAUUUAUUCCCUUUAUAAUUCGAUAUACAUUGGUUUUAGUGUACUAAUGUGGACCAUCACACCUGGAUCAAUGCAGACAGUCAAAGUCUUGAGGAAGUUUUCUGGCUUGAGACUGUUGAGAUGUUGUGCAGCUUCUUUCCUCCUCUGCAGCUCCUUCCUCUUCUCCUGCUUCUCUCGCUCCUUUGCAGCUCGGCUCUCCUCUCGAGCCUCCCUCCGCUCUCUCGCUUUCUGCUUGUCCGCCUCGAUCUCCUCCUUAGAGCGGCGUUUUCUCGUCGGACUCGGCCGUCCGUAUUCAUCGGGUGGCGGUGGGACUAAAACGUCUUUCGCACUUCUGUCGCCUUGAACAAAGCCUUUUGCUUCCACGCCGCCUUCGGAAUCGGAAUCGGAUAUUUCCCAUAUUGUAGACUGAUGCAACGUGCUCAUUUUACUUGUAAACAACUUUCGAUAAAUACGUAAAAUUCGGCCGAUCGGUUAAAAGAAGGAUCAUUUAAAUCCUGCUUGCGACGGAGUCUGACGAGGGUCAAUUAGAUGAAACGAUGCCACGGUGUCUGUAGAGGGCCAAAUAAACAUAUUUGAAAAAAACGCGUAGGAAUUAUUUUGUUGAAAGUUUUGCAAACAGGCUAAAUGAGCAAUCACUUUAAGACGAAAAUGAGCCACUCAUAAAUACAUAUUAUUACACUGUUAUUAUUUGACGAAGACGUGGGGGCAAAGUCUUUAAUGCUGUAUAAUACGGUUGAGACAGCGUGUGUAAAUUAUUGAAUGACUCUCCCUUUUACGAAAAGGACACCUUAAAUAGUCAAUACUAUCAU